AGGAGUCUAACAUAUGUGCGAGUAUGCGGGCGGCAACCCUGUAUGCACAAUGAAAGUGAGAGUAGGGAGAGUUUUGCUUUUUGCUUUUCUCGCACCUACGACCCACCACGAACUCUGUGAGAGGUUUGAGUUGUAGCACAUCUGUUAGAACCCGAAAGAUGCUGAACUAUGCCUGAGUAGGGUGAAGUCAGGCGAAAGCCUGAUGGAGGCUCGUAGCGAUACUGACGUGCAAAUCGUUCGUCAAACUUGGGUAUAGGGGCGAAAGACUAAUUGAACCGUCUAGUAGCUGGUUUCUUCCGAAGUUUCUUUCAGGAUAGCUGGAGUUCUAUUAGUUUUAUCAGGUAAAGCGAAUGAUUAGAGGCCUCAUGGGCGCGUUGCCCUCGACCUAUUCUCAAACUUUAACUGGGUAAGAUCCAGUGCUUACUUCAUUGAACUGCUGGGGUUAAUAUGAACUCCAAGUGAGCCAUUUUUGGUAAGCAGAACUGGCCAGAGGACUCAUUGAUGUUUUAUUCCGCCUGCGGUGUUGCAUGCUUUGAGCAAAUCGGUAAUAACCGCUGGCUCCAGGCAGAAGAAAAACGAAUUGGAAAGUGUGUUGCGGCCUAGGGGAGCACACUUCAGGCGAAGCAUCAGAAAAACAGAAUU
rnacentral:ncRNA from 1 species